UGGGGAAUAUUGGGCAAUGGGCGAAAGCCUGACCCAGCGACGCCGCGUGAGGGAAGAAGGUCUUCGGAUUGUAAACCUUUGUAGACAGGGACGAAGAAAUGACGGUACCUGUAAAGUAAGCCACGGCUAACUACGUGCCAGCAGCCGCGGUAAUACGUAGGUGGCAAGCGUUAUCCGGAUUUAUUGGGUGUAAAGGGUGAGUAGGCGGGCUGACAAGUCAGAUGUGAAAUGUUCGGGCUUAACCUGAGAACUGCAUUUGAAACUGCCAGUCUUGAGUGUCGGAGGGGUAAUCGGAAUUCCCGGUGUAGCGGUGAAAUGCGUAGAGAUCGGGAGGAACACCAGUGGCGAAGGCGGAUUACUGGACGACAACUGACGCUGAUACACGAAAGCGUGGGGAGCAAACAGG
rnacentral:rRNA from 1 species